rnacentral:rRNA from 1 species
ACUCCUACGGGAGGCAGCAGUGGGGAAUAUUGCACAAUGGGCGCAAGCCUGAUGCAGCCAUGCCGCGUGUAUGAAGAAGGCCUCGGUUGUAAAGUACUUCUAGCAGUGAGGAAGGUGGGUAGUGUUAAUAGCAUACUCAUUUGACGUUAGCUGCAGAAGAAGCACCGGCUAACUCCGUGCCAGCAGCCGCGGUAAUACGGAGGGUGCGAGCGUUAAUCGGAAUUACUGGGCGUAAAGCGCAUGCAGGUGGUUUGUUAAGUCAGAUGUGAAAGCCCGGGGCUCAACCUCGGAAUUGCAUUUGAAACUGGCAAACUAGAGUACUGUAGAGGGGGUAGAAUUUCAGGUGUAGCGGUGAAAUGCGUAGAGAUCUGAAGGAAUACCGGUGGCGAAGGCGGCCCCCUGGACAGAUACUGACACUCAGAUGCGAAAGCGUGGGGAGCAAACAGGAUUAGAUACCCUGGUAGGAAACCG